GCUCAGUUGGUAGAGCAGAGGACUGAAAUCCUCGU
rnacentral:tRNA from 1 species